GGGCGUAUGGUCUAGUGGUAUGAUUUCUGUUUUGCAAACACCUCAAGUUUUCCAGCUAGAGGAUAAAAAAAAUGCUCAUACAGACGGUCCCGCGUUCGAUCCGCGGUACGUCCA